UAGAGUUUGAUCAUGGCUCAUGAUGAACGCUAGCGGGAGGCCUAACACAUGCAAGCCGAGCGGUAGAGUUUCUUCGGAAACUUGAGAGCGGCGCACGGGUGCGGAACACGUGUGCAACCUGCCUUUAUCUGGGGGAUAGCCUUUCGAAAGGAAGAUUAAUACCCCAUAAUAUAUUGAUUGGCAUCAGUUAAUAUUGAAAACUCCGGUGGAUAAAGAUGGGCACGCGUAAGAUUAGAUAGUUGGUGAGGUAACGGCUCACCAAGUCAACGAUCUUUAGGGGGCCUGAGAGGGUGAUCCCCCACACUGGUACUGAGACACGGACCAGACUCCUACGGGAGGCAGCAGUGAGGAAUAUUGGACAAUGGGUGAGAGCCUGAUCCAGCCAUCCCGCGUGAAGGAAUAAGGACCUAUGGUUUGUAAACUUCUUUUGUACAGGGAUAAACCUACUCACGUGUGAGUAGCUGAAGGUACUGUACGAAUAAGCACCGGCUAACUCCGUGCCAGCAGCCACGGUAAUACGGAGGGUGCAAGCGUUAUCCGGAUUUAUUGGGUUUAAGGGUCCGUAGGCGGGCCCGUAAGUCAGUGGUGAAAUCUCACAGCUUAACUGUGAAACUGCCGUUGAUACUGCGGGUCUUGAGUGUAGUUGAGGUAGCUGG
rnacentral:rRNA from 1 species